rnacentral:lncRNA from 1 species
AUGCAGGCUGGGGGGGGGGGUCCUCUGAUCCCUUUGUUUAUUUUAAAGAUUUUAUUUAUUUAUUUGAGAGGUAGAGUUAUAGACAGCGAAAGGGACAGAGAGAAAGGUCUUCCAUCUGCUGGUUCCCUCCGAAGCCAAGAGCCAGGAGCUUCUUCUGGGUCUCCCACGUGGAUGCAGGGGCCAAGCACUUGGGUCAUCUUCAGCUUUCCCAGGCCACAGCAGGCAGUUGGAUCGGAAGUGGAGCAGCCGGGACUCGAACUGGCAGCUAUGUGGUAUGGCAGCACUGCAGGUGGAGGAUUAACCUACUGGGCCACAGGGCCAGUCCCUCUAAUGAUGCAGGGGAGACUCGCAGGGGCCCAGGAGCUUCCCCGAGGCUUGAGUGGGGCUGGGGGGCCCUGCUGGGGCAGCUCAGGCGCCCAUGGAGCCACAGCCUCUCCGGGGUUCCGGCAAACUGCCCCUGCAGAGGGGGAAGCCACGGCCUCUCCCACAGCGCCCUGCGUCGGGGCCUGGGUUCUAACCCCGCCCCUCUCCAGCAAAGCCCUCAGCCUCCCCUACACGCCCACGCGGGGCCGGAUCCAGCCCACCUGCAAUCACUCAGGCACUCUGGGAGCCCUCAGCCCAGACCCCGCCGCGCUCCACGCCCUGCCAGACACUGGACCCCUCCCAUUUUCACAGCAAGGUGGCCUCCCGCGGAGGAGACCACGCCCAGGUCAAGGCCGCCCCUCCCUGGAGGGGGGGGGCUCAGCCUUCUCCCUGGGGGGAGGAGGCUGCCCCGGGUGCAAAGCACCAGGCAAGGGUCUGACCCGCUCACACCGGGCGCACUGCGCUCACAGAGCCGGGAGAACUUGUAAAAUCCAUCUCCCCGCCCCGGGGCCCAGGGGCUCGAGGCAGGGAGGGCCCAGGGGUCGCAGUUCAAACCCGCGUUUGGAGGCCCUGCCCCACCCAGGUGAGUCCUGCGAUCUGGCGACUCCAGCCCACAGCCCAAGCUCUGAGCCCACGCAGCCGCCCCAGGGCCUCCUUCCUCGGCCGCCGCCGCCCGCAGGACCUGGGGUCCUCGGAGAGGGGGCGGGGCGGGGCGGGGCCAGGUGCGCGGCGCCCCGCCUCGGGGGCGGGGUCUCACCUGCGGCGGGCAGGUAG